rnacentral:tRNA from 1 species
CCGGGGAGUGGCGCAGAGGUAGCGCACCUGCUUUGGGGGCAGGCGGUCGGGGGUUCGAAUCCCCCUCCCCGAC